rnacentral:rRNA from 1 species
ACUGAUGGCGACCGGCGCACGGGUGAGUAACACUAUCCAACCUGCCGAUAACUCGGGGAUAGCCUUUCGAAAGAAAGAUUAAUACCCGAUGGUAUAAUUAGACCGCAUGGUCUUGUUAUUAAAGAAUUUCGGUUAUCGAUGGGGAUGCGUUCCAUUAGGCAGUUGGUGAGGUAACGGCUCACCAAACCUUCGAUGGAUAGGGGUUCUGAGAGGAAGGUCCCCCACAUUGGAACUGAGACACGGUCCAA